rnacentral:rRNA from 1 species
UCCGGUUGAUCCCGCCGGACCCCACUGCUAUCGAGGUGGGACUAAGCCAUGCUAGUCGAACGCACAGAACUAUGUCUGUGAGUGGCAUACUGCUCAGUAACACGUAGCUAACCUACCCUUAGGACGUUCACAACCCCGAGAAAUUGGGGCUAAUAAGCGAUAGAUAUGAUGUCCUGGAAUGGUAUUAUGUCUAAAGGUAUCCCAUACAUGUUUGGUAUACGCCUAAGGAUGGGGCCGCGGCUGAUCAGGCUGUUGGUGAGGUAAUGGCUCACCAANCCAUUGACCAGNACGGGCCAUGANAGUGGU